rnacentral:rRNA from 1 species
GAUGAACGCUGGCGGCGUGCCUAAUACAUGCAAGUCGAGCGAACGGACGAGAAGCUUGCUUCUCUGAUGUUAGCGGCGGACGGGUGAGUAACACGUGGAUAACCUACCUAUAAGACUGGGAUAACUUCGGGAAACCGGAGCUAAUACCGGAUAAUAUUUUGAACCGCAUGGUUCAAAAGUGAAAGACGGUCUUGCUGUCACUUAUAGAUGGAUCCGCGCUGCAUUAGCUAGUUGGUAAGGUAACGGCUUACCAAGGCAACGAUGCAUAGCCGACCUGAGAGGGGGGUCGGCCACACGGGAACGGAGCCACGGUCCAGACUCCUGCGGGAGGCAGCAGUAGGGAAUCUUCCGCAAUGGGCGAAAGCCUGACGGAGCAACGCCGCGUGAGUGAUGAAGGUCCUCGGAUCGUAAAACUCUGUUAUUAGGGAAGAACAUAUGUGUAAGUAACUGUGCACAUCUUGACGGUACCUAAUCAGAAAGCCACGGCUAACUACGUG